AAACUGCCUGAUGGAGGGGGAUAACUACUGGAAACGGUAGCUAAUACCGCAUAAUGUCGCAAGACCAAAGUGGGGGACCUUCGGGCCUCAUGCCAUCAGAUGUGCCCAGAUGGGAUUAGCUAGUAGGUGGGGUAACGGCUCACCUAGGCGACGAUCCCUAGCUGGUCUGAGAGGAUGACCAGCCACACUGGAACUGAGACACGGUCCAGACUCCUACGGGAGGCAGCAGUGGGGAAUAUUGCACAAUGGGCGCAAGCCUGAUGCAGCCAUGCCGCGUGUGUGAAGAAGGCCUUCGGGUUGUAAAGCACUUUCAGCGGGGAGGAAGGCGGUAAGGUUAAUAACCUUGGCGAUUGACGUUACCCGCAGAAGAAGCACCGGCUAACUCCGUGCCAGCAGCCGCGGUAAUACGGAGGGUGCAAGCGUUAAUCGGAAUUACUGGGCGUAAAGCGCACGCAGGCGGUCUGUCAAGUCGGAUGUGAAAUCCCCGGGCUCAACCUGGGAACUGCAUUCGAAACUGGCAGGCUAGAGUCUUGUAGAGGGGGGUAGAAUUCCAGGUGUAGCGGUGAAAUGCGUAGAGAUCUGGAGGAAUACCGGUGGCGAAGGCGGCCCCCUGGACAAAGACUGACGCUCAGGUGCGAAAGCGUGGGGAGCAAACAGGAUUAGAUACCCUGGUAGUCCACGCCGUAAACGAUGUCGAUUUGGAGGUUGUGCCCUUGAGGCGUGGCUUCCGGAGCUAACGCGUUAAAUCGACCGCCUGGGGAGUACGGCCGCAAGGUUAAAACUCAAAUGAAUUGACGGGGGCCCGCACAAGCGGUGGAGCAUGUGGUUUAAUUCGAUGCAACGCGAAGAACCUUACCUGGUCUUGACAUCCACAGAACUUUCCAGAGAUGGAUUGGUGCCUUCGGGAACUGUGAGACAGGUGCUGCAUGGCUGUCGUCAGCUCGUGUUGUGAAAUGUUGGGUUAAGUCCCGCAACGAGCG
rnacentral:rRNA from 1 species